rnacentral:rRNA from 1 species
GACGAACGCUGGCGGCGUGCCUAAUACAUGCAAGUAGAACGCUGAAGAGAGGAGCUUGCUCGUCUUGGAUGAGUUGCGAACGGGUGAGUAACGCGUAGGUAACCUGCCUGGUAGCGGGGGAUAACUAUUGGAAACGAUAGCUAAUACCGCAUAAAAUGGAUUAUCGCAUGAUAAUCCAUUGAAAGGUCCAAAUGCAUCACCACCAGAUGGACCUGCGUUGUAUUGGCUAGUUGGUGGGGUAACGGCUCACCAAGGCGAAGGUACAUAGCCGACCUGAGAGGGUGAUCGGCCACACUGGGACUGAGACACGGCCCAGACUCCUACGGGAGGGAGCAGGAGGGGAUCUUCGGCAAGGGACGGAAGUCUGAACGAGCAACGCCGCGGGAGUGAAGAAGGUUGUCGGAUCGUAAAGCUCUGUUGUAAGAGAAGAACGAGUGUGAGAGUGGAAAGUUCACACUGUGACGGUAUCUUACCAGAAAGGGACGGCUAACUACGUG